rnacentral:rRNA from 1 species
AUUGAACGCUGGCGGCAGGCCUAACACAUGCAAGUCUAACGAGUGGCGGACGGGUGAGUAAUGUCUGGGAAACUGCCUGAUGGAGGGGGAUAACUACUGGAAACGGUAGCUAAUACCGCAUACCAUCGGAUGUGCCCAGAUGGGAUUAGCUAGUAGGUGGGGUAAAGGCUCACCUAGGCGACGAUCCCUAGCUGGGCUGAGAGGAUGACCAGCCACACUGGAACGGAGACACGGUCCAGACUCCUACGUGAGGCAGCAGUGGGGAAUAUUGCACAAUGGGCGCAAGCCUGAUGCAGCCAUGCCGCGUGUAUGAAGAAGGCCUUCGGGUUGGAAAGUACUUGCAGCGGGGAGGCGUUACCCGCAGAAGAAGCACCGGCUAACUCCGUGCCAGCAGCCGCGGUAAUAG